UACGUAGGGUGCAAGCGUUGUCCGGAAUUAUUGGGCGUAAAGAGCUCGUAGGCGGUUUGUCGCGUCUGCUGUGAAAACCCGAGGCUCAACCUCGGGUCUGCAGUCGAUACGGGCAAACUAGAGUAUUGCAGGGGAGACUGGAAUUCCUGGUGUAGCGGUGAAAUGCGCAGAUAUCAGGAGGAACACCGAUGGCGAAGGCAGCCCCCUGGGUCAAGAUUGACGCUCAUGCACGGAAAGCGUGGGGAGCAAACAGG
rnacentral:rRNA from 1 species